rnacentral:snRNA from 1 species
CAUGGCGUCGUAGAUACGAACGAGUUGCAAUUCCGCCUUUUACUGAAUCGCACCGCGUAUCUUCGACACAAAGCCAUCUUCUUAGUUUUUAGCAGACGCUUUGCGUCC